rnacentral:rRNA from 1 species
UGGAGGAGUGAUUUGUCUGGUUAAUUCCGUUAACGAGCGAGACCGUAGCGUUUAUAUAGAGGGUUUUGUCUUAGUGUAUAGGUGAAGGUGACUUUAUAGCUUGCUAUGAAAUCAUUGGAUCCUUCUUUGACAGAGAGGCUUGUAAAAUAGUCGCGCCCUCUUCAUAGACGGACUCUCGGCAAAAAGCCGAGGGAAGUUUUCGGCAAUAACA